GAGGACCAACUGUAUGCUGUCAGGUAUUGAAAGGCAUAUUAUAUUAUGAAAGAAAUGAAUGAUCCUGAUCAAAAGUGGGGAACUCCACAUUGUCUCCAACGUCUUCUGCAACUUUCCCACCUUGAAUGGAUCCCUUAAAUAUCUCUGGUUUGAUGAAAAAAGCUUUUUCGAGCCAAAAAGGGAAGGUGGGGUCAUUAUAAUGGGAUUGUGAGACAUACAUCUCUGCAUGUGGAGUUAUGUGUAGACUGUAUCACCCUCUACAACUCUUGUGUUGAGUAGCAAUGUUCUGUCAUUGAAGCUCAUCACCAAAAGUACAAUUGAAUGCACAAGCAAAAGUGUCGUGUUCAUCAGGGACAAUGUCUCCUUGCUUGAGCAAUGGCUCCGCAUGGACAACUCUACUCUUGUGAUCUUGAAGUGAAGGUGGACUUCCUUCAAAAAGGUUGGAGAACUUCACCAUGCGUAGGACACCAAUGGGAUUCCAACCUAUGUUUGUUCCAUGGAAAGUGGUCAGAAGGAGGACAUCUGAUUCUUUUCCUAAAUGUCUCUUUUCUCUUCUGUGUCUUCUAUUGUACGUAUAUAUAUGAGUUUCAACCAGAGUUAUCCUUUGUCUCAUCAAGUCUUUGGGAGCAUGACUGUUUGGUACUUCCUUCCUUUCCUCACUUUUCUACAACUGCCACCAAAGUUUCCAACUUGUACAACCAUGGCACCCAAGAUGACUGCUUAGCGCUGCAUGUUUGACAUCUCCCAGAAAUAGCAAGCCAUGCUGAACCGGUGGGCCUGUGGCCACGAUCAGCUGAAGGUGGGAGUCGCGUGCUCGGCGUCUCACCUCCUGGAUGAGAAAACGCUCUCGGGGGCAACUCACAGUGCAUCUGCUCUGCUUCCGACUCCCCCACCCCAUUUGUCCCCCGGCCCACGAUGGCGGUUGGCUGGCUGCGCUCUUGCUCUCUUGUCACCAGCUUGUGUGACAGGUGAAGUGACACAAAGUCAGCAGAGUUGUGAAGAAGGUUGCUCCGGGCUCUUCCCACAUGGGGAGGUGAGGUCGCUCCAGCAGGAGGAGAGCAAAGUGGGAAACAGCCCAUCUUGUAACAUCUGUUCACUCUUUUUCCUCUUUUUGUUUAGAUGUGGUGAGGAGGCAGAGAGGAGUGCAGACAAAGACUGGCCCACAAGGAGCUUCGGAGAGGACCACACUUGGCUCAGAAGAGGUCACCUUCACUCUUACUUUUCAACUGUGUUCUACUUUCCUGAAGGAUGUGAUGACCACUUGUGGCUGCCACAUGGACAAUUGUGAGAAGAAGGUAUGUCUAUGGCUGGUGGAAAGCCAAGGUUGAAUUUUGGGCCUCUUCUUGUUCACCAAGAGGUAUACAAGGACAUUGCCUCUGCUCACAGACCUGUUGGUCCUGUUGCCGUGUGCCAUCACAUUGACUUUGAUGCAUGGCAAAUUACUGAAUGAGUGACUUACAAAAGAUCGACAAAAGGACCAUAGUCUUCAUGGCAAAUCAUUGCAUGACAACCUGCUUUUCUUCCUCACACAUUCACAAGGUUGAGUUUGAGUGACUUCCAAAGGAUCAACAGGGCAAUUGUAGUCAUCUCUGUCUACUGUAACAUGGUCUUGUUUUCUGACUGCAUUACCCUUUCCCCAACACAACUGACUCUUCCAAUUAAUAGUAUUGCCUCUUACAUGUGUAGUAUAAAAUCUGUGGACCAGGAGACUUCCCAAAGCAUGAACUGAACACACAAAGCAUGGCAAAGAAAGACAGAUGCCAUGUUUUUACCAAGGAUCAUUCCUAGUAGAAAGUCCAUGUUACAAUAGACAAAGAACAUGAUCCUACGGAAGUCAUUUAUUCCAUGAUUCACGAUGAAUCAAUGCCAACUUGAUAGCACAUAUCAACAUUAGUAACGGGCCCUUGAGUGGAGUCAAGAUCCUUGCAUGUCUCUUGGAGAGCAAGAACUCAACUUGAGUAUCCCACCAUCUGCCUGUUUUCUUGUUUUUUGUGUUGUUUUGAGAAAAAACAAUGGUAGAUUUGGGGAGGGCAUAGAGAGGUGGAGAGACAAAGAAUGAGCAAGGACUUCUUGAGAGAGGUUAUUUUCAUUCCUAAGUUCAUACACACAACCUACUUUUAUUGAAGGUUGAGAUGAACACUUGUGGCUACCACAAGAGGAAGGUGUGUCUAUGGCUGACGGGAUACCCAAGUUGAGUUUGGGCACACUCCCUGUUCACCAAGAGAUACGCCAAGAGGUUGCUUCACCUCAAGGACCCAUUGCUUCUGUCAUUGUGUGCCAUCAAGCUGGCUUUGACUCAUGUUGAAUGAGUAACUUCCAAAAGACCAACCGAAGGGUCAACAGUUUUCAUGAUGAGUCACUGAAUGAGUGACUUCAAAAUCAAAUUCUUAACAGCCUUGCUCAACAAGGUGGUCUUUAUCUUUGUCUACUGUAAUACAAUCCUCUUUUCUUCCUUACACUCAGGUUGGCUUUGACUCACGGUGAAUCACUGAAUGAGUGCUUUCCCAAAGAUCAGCAAGGCCAUUGUUGAUUUGCUGUUAGCAUAUUAUUUUCUAACUGCUUUAGUCUUUCCACAACAUGAUGGACUCUUCCAGUGAAUGAUAUUGCCUCUAAGUAUAAUGUCUAAGGCAUGAACUGAAGAUACAAAGUAUGGCAAAGAAAGGUUGAUUCUGAAGCCAUGAUUUUAUCAAAGGUGAUGUCUUGCAGAAAGACCAAAGGAGACUAUGGUUGCCCUGGUGAUCUUUUGGAAGUCACUCAUUCAAUGGUUCACUAUGAGUCAAAGCGUACAUGAUGGCACAUAACAACAUCAGCAAUGAGUAGUACUUGAGAGGAGGAACCUGCCUUCCACAUCUCUUGUUGAACAAGGUCUCAUCCUGAGUAUCCCAUCAACACACUUUCUUAUGCAGUUUCCCAUGAAUUUGCCACAAGUGGUUCUUGGAUCUCUUCACUAUCCAUCAAUGACUCCUGGUUGGAAUGGACCUACGUUUCUCCCACAAACCAUGCCAUGAGGAAUGCCACAUAAGGUGAGACCACACCAUCAACAAUAUGGAUUCUGCUCCAUUUCUGUCUUAGCUUCCUGACUUUGUUACAGGCUCAGUUUUCUCCCUGACCAGUAUUGGCCAAAUCACAUCCAAAUGACCUAGAAAUAUGGUGAGAACAAUCAACAGCAACUCCAAAAAGAAUAUAGAUUGAGAAAUAAGUCUACCUUACUGACAAAGGAGGUAAUCCAUAGAGGUAAAACCACAAACUAUUGCUUCCAUGUUCUAGUCUUACCAGUUUCAUCUCAAAUUGAUGGCCAUGAAAUGAUGGAAAGUUCCUUCAAACAAGACUGGAAUCAAUAUGCAUAUAAGGGAAUCCUCUCUGGAUGGAGCAAUUGGUUCACUAAAGAAUAAUGUGUAUAAUGUGAACGUCCUUCUUUCCCUCCUACUCAUCCACUCUUUCCAAAUAAUUUCCACCCUGAUGUGUGACAAUAUGGAAGCAUCUGCAACAACCCUUCGACUUCAGAUGGAAACAACUGGUGCAUACAAGCUUGGAGACUGUUUUAUAGUGACUUCACAUUUUUUCACGCGCACCAUGAUUGGAACAUAGCGUUAUUUUGGUAGUCAUCAACCACAGCUUGCCAAUCUUAUGAAGGUUCAUAGGUUUUAACUGGUGGGCCAUCAUUAAGAAGGUGGGGAACAUGCAACUGGGUCUUCUCACAUUGCCUUCUGUUUUAAUCAGUGACCAGCAAGAUAUGGUCACCUUAACAUAAACAUGAUGGGGUGGUGGCAUUGAAUAUGGCCUGGCUCCAGCAGCCAAAAUCUUGUUGGUCUCUCUCUCACACACAAACAGGUUCCUUUGCACCUCUAUAGACUUUUUAAAGCCUUUGUACACUGGACUUAUUCACUUCAUGCUUGUCUAGGCAGAGUUGUAAAUGUAUGGCCAUUUCACAUACACUAGAGUAGAACCACUGAACAACUGGAUUUACUUGCACAAGUAUCCCUCCAUAUCCAGUGGGCUUAAGGGCACAGGAUCCCUAUAAAAGUAGGAAAAACAAAACAUAAAAAUGCUAUUUUUCUUUGAUUAAAAAAAGAAAAGGGUCCUCCAGUGGAUUAUAUGGUAAGUGUAGAUUCAUAUAAUGCAGUUCAGUGUGAUUCUGAUGGGAUUAUGGGAUUCAGGUUCAAAAUGACUCUGAUGGGGAUUAUGGAAUUCAGGUUCAGAGUGUCCCUGUUGUAGAAGAUGAGGAACAGAGAGUUUUUCCCACAGCAGGGAAUGGUGUUGAUGAUACUGAAAUUAGCCAGGUGCAAAUUGACUCAGAAAAGGAGGACAGUUCUCAGUCUGAUAGCAAGCAGGCAGACACUAAUGAGCAGGUUGGCCUUGAUAGAACGGAAUCUCUAGAUCGAGCUAACCAUUUGGAAUUCCGGGUUCAAAGGAGUGCAAAUAAGGAGGAGGUCAGAGGGCAAAGAAAUGCUUUUAUGCUUUGCAAAGGGUAUUAAAACAGCUUUGACAAACCUUUGUCAAAGCAAUUUCUCGCUCAAGCCAAGAAGCAAGCUCUCGUUUUCCUGGAUUACCUUGCAGCCUUUGUGUGUUCAUGUUCAUGGGACUUUGUCAUGCGUUAAUGGAACCUUGUUUUAUGCUUUAUGUUUCUUGGAUUAUCCUUUAAAGCUUUGUUUUGCAACUAUCAUUUGGAACUUACUUUCGCUUUUAAAGAACUAUUUAUUUUCUAUUUCCUAAUAAACUACAAAAGACUUCAA